rnacentral:rRNA from 1 species
AUUGAACGCUGGCGGCAGGCCUAACACAUGCAAGUCGAACGGUAACAGGAAACAGCUUGCUGUUUCGCUGACGAGUGGCGGACGGGUGAGUAAUGUCUGGGAAACUGCCUGAUGGAGGGGGAUAACUACUGGAAACGGUAGCUAAUACCGCAUAACGUCGCAAGACCAAAGAGGGGGACCCUCGGGCCUCUUGCCAUCGGAUGUGCCCAGAUGGGAUUAGCUUGUUGGUGGGGUAACGGCUCACCAAGGCGACGAUCCCUAGCUGGUCUGAGAGGAUGACCAGCCACACUGGAACUGAGACACGGUCCAGACUCCUACGGGAGGCAGCAGUGGGGAAUAUUGCACAAUGGGCGCAAGCCUGAUGCAGCCAUGCCGCGUGUAGGAAGAAGGCCUUCGGGUUGUAAAGUACUUUCAGCGGGGAGGAAGGGAGUAAAGUUAAUACCUUUGCUCAGUGACGGUACCCGCAGAAGAAGCACCGGCUAACGCCG